rnacentral:rRNA from 1 species
UACGGGGGGAGCAAGCGUUGUUCGGAUUUACUGGGCGUAAAGGGCGCGUAGGCGGCGUGACAAGUCACUUGUGAAAUCUCCGAGCUUAACUCGGAACGGUCAACUGAUACUGUGCGGCUAGAGUGCGGAAGGGGCAACUGGAAUUCUUGGUGUGAGCGGUGAAAUGCGUAGAUAUCAAGAGGAACACCUGCGGCGAAGGCGGGUUGCUGGGCCGACACUGACGCUGAGGCGCGGAAAGCCAGGGGAGCGAACGGG